GGAGGCACCACCCUUCCACCGCUGCCUGUGCCCCCUGGAGGGGCGGCACCGCAGCUGUUGCUCGGCUAGGAGCUCUGGGUUUUAUAAAUAAUGCAGCUUGGAGGUGGGGGCCCACUCAGCCUUGGGUCACCCACUGUGGCAUCAUCUCCAGCUGGCAGUCCUGUGGCAGAGCCCCUCUGCCUUCCAGCCUGCUCCUCCUCUUCUGCUAUGUGAGUUUGGGCCAGAGGCCCAGCCUGUGUGAGCUGGGCCAGGGCAAAGGAGUGUGGAAGAACCCAGAACCCCCUGUCCUUUUGUACCCCGCCCCCACCAGCCUUCACAGGUUAACUGGCCACUGGCUCAGCAAAUCCAGGCUGGGAAGGGAUGACCCGCUGUACAGGGGCCUCCCUAGUUCUAGCCCCUCCAUUUUGCAGAUGGAGUAACCAAGCCCAGAGAGGGCAGGGAUGGCCAAGGCCAGCCAGCUGAUGAGCAGCUCCUUCCUGUCCCAUUCUGCUGUCAGUCAAGGCUCUUCUCAGCCUCAGCUCAGCUAAGAGCAGGGCCUGGAGGGCGGGGGGGAUGUUUGGGAAAGUGGUUGCGGCUGAGACGUUGCCAUGGCGAUGUUGCAGGAUGCCGAGCUGAAGUGGGGGUCUUACAGGGUCUCUGGGGCCCCCAGCUCCACACCCCUGUGGUCUUCUCCUCCCCAUCUCCUGUCCCUCACCCAGAGGCCUGUCAGGCAGCUCCGAUGACAGGCUGGGUGGGUGACAGGUGGUGCAGGUGAUGGGCUGGGUGGGUGACGAGCUGGGUGGGUGACAGGUGGUGCGGGUGCGAGGCAGGCAGGUGACAAGCUGGGUGGUGACGGGCCCUGCUGAUGACAGGCAGGGGGUGUGGUUGGCGGGGAUGCUGUCUCCUGGCUGGUGGCCUGUCGCAGCCCCCCACCCUCACACGUGUGCACAUGCACAGACUCUGGGUUCAGAGCUUGGGGCUAAGAUACUAAUGAGGCUUAUUACGUGUGGGGGGGCAGGUGCCCAGGCUCACUAAUGAGAGGCCUUUAACGAAGAGGGGAGACAGCUGGGGGGCUUUGAGGAAUUUGGCUGGCCCUCCUGGUCUGGAGGAUGAGCCAGGUCGGGACCCCACCUACCCUUCCCCCCGGCCACUUGGCUUUGUGUUAAUACUACCCACAGUCAUGAUAGUUACCAUUGUCCAAGCGUUUGCUACACUGGCCGAGCCCUUUACAUGCGUUUUCUUAUUUCAACUCAGCAGUCGUAGGAGGGAGGCACUAUUGCCCAUUUUAUGGAUGAGGAAUCUGAGGCUGAGAAGGCAAGGGACUUCACGUAACAAGUUUCUGUUGCAGCUGACAUUUUAAUCUUAAGUCUUUCUGUCCCCAGAGCCCGUGCUCUUAACCAUCCCACCAGUAACACUCAGGUCUUGGCGCAGACCCCGACCUUCUCUCAGGGCCUCAGUUUCACUCUUCUGGAAAAUGGAUGUGCGGUGGAGGAGUGAGCACCAUACGUUCUUCAGCUCUGACUUGGGUGGCUUCAGGGGCUCCUCCAGUUAACUGUCAAAGCCUCACCCCAUCUGGCCCAGAUUCUAGGUGACACCCCUGGACUGGAGAGAGGGCAGGGCUUAGCACUGAGGGAGCGGAGCUGAAGGGGGAUACCUGGGGUAUCCAGACCACUUCCUGCAUUGUGUGGUGGGGAGGCUGAGGCCUGGAGAGGAGCAACAAGGGCCCAAGGCCACAUACCCUGUAAGCUGUAGGGCCCCGUGGGAUCCCAGGUCUCCUGGCCUGUUGGAAGGGCGGGGCUGGGAGUGGUGCCAGAGCUGGAGGUCACCUCCUCCUGGACCCCACCCACCAGCCUAGCUUCUGCCCUGGAGGUUGUGAGCCCCUACAUCCUGGGAGGGGGCAGGGGGCUGUUGGCCACCUCUUUAGGGCCAUGCCCCUUCCCCAUCAGUCUGGGCCCGUAGUGUCAGUUGAUCUCCUCCCUUUGGGACCCAUUGGGGUGGAAACUCCCUGGCAACAACUGAUGGAUGGGUUAAGGCCUUGACAUUGGCCUGGGGCCACAGCAUGACCCUGGAGGGACCAGGCUAGGGCUGGGGGUCUUGGAGGGGAAUUUAAGGGAGAAGAAUUAGGGUCAUAAAUCUUGGAGCAUCUGGGUUCUCUUCUCCUCGACCUUAAUCUCUUACCAAACCUGCUCUCCGGCUGCUCAUCCAAGUCUGAGGGUUGAGGGGGGUCCACCUGCCCAUUCCCCUCUCCCUCCAACUGAUGCCUCCCCCCCCCCGAAAUUGCACCCCCUAUGGGGAAGAACAAGUUGCAGCCACUGCCGCUGGACAGAAUUAAGAACUUGUGUGUCUAGACUACUGGAUUUGGCCUCUGAUUCAUAACAGUAGGCAGGGCAGAGAGCUUCACUGCCUCAGUGUCCCCAGCCUUGGGUUUGAAAUCCUCUCCUGGUGCCUGACUGCUCAGUCAGGAAGGAGUGCUAAGACCAAGAGGGAUUUCACAGCUGCGGGACACAUGGCCCUGUCCUCAGAAGCCCCAUUCUGAGAUAAGCAGCACAGUCCUGGCCUUGAGAGCCCUCAAACCCAGAGGUGAGGUCUUGAACUCAGGCUGGGUGUGCGCUGAGGCUCAGGUAGGGAGUGGGUGGUGCUGGGUGGCUGGUCUGUUUUCUGAAGCAAAGGCCGAGGCUGGGGAGAGGCCAGAAGAAGGGUGGAGGUUUGCCUGGGGGCCUGAGGAGCCAUCUGUGGUUGGGGGUGGGAGCCUGGAAGGGUCUGGCUUUCCCAUAGUCCCGGGCAGCUGUAGCCUGAAGUUCUGGGGCCCUCCUAGCUCCCCAGGGAACCCGCUGCUGCCCGGCCCUGGGGACCCAGGCGUCCUGGCGGGUGAGGGCGGGUCUCCGGCAGGCGCCCUGCCAAGCCUCGCAGCCUGCUCACCAGGAAUCUUGUUGCUGAGAGAUGGAAGAUCCAGGUCGGGCCUGCAGCUCAUCUCUCCCCUCCGGGAGGAGGAGGGGCCCAAAGAUUCCUUCCUGCACCCGCCCUCCCAUCUGGGGCAGGGCCCUCCUCAGCAGUGGGUGGGGCUGGGGGGCCCAGGACAGGCCUCUAAGGCUCCAUCACAUGUCCUGGAGCCUAGCCCAGCCAGCAGUGGGCACCGGGGCACUCUGGAGGCAGAAUGAGCCUGGUGUGGCAGAGGAGAGGCGGGGUAGGGUGCUGAGGCCACAGGGGGUCCUGCAUAGGGGCCUAAGCCUGGCCCUGGCCCCCACUGGCUCCCCCAGGGCAGAGGGUGAAGAGUUGGUUCUCUUCCAUUAUGGGAGUGUGAUUUUAUUCCACGUGUCACGGAGUCUGAGAUUAACUUGCUCACCAGUCUGUGACAAACCCCUCACACCCAACACACACACACACAGAGGCACAGAGACACACGGAGAUCCUUGGUCUCACAAAGGCACCUUCCACAGACACACAUAAGCAUUUCCAUGCUACAACGCAUGGCAGGCUCUCACAUGCAGAUGCACAAGCACACACCGAGAUACAGUGUGUAAAGAUACACCGAGAUCUAGAUCCACAGUCUCCAAAGCACAACGUUCUCCCACUCACACUAAGGCCACACAGACAGAGAUACAAACAGGCGGUCCAGGGGGAUGCUCGCAGCCCUACCUAGACAUGCACAGAUCAAGGACGCCCGGUGCCCCACAGGCACAGAUACACGUAGACACACACAACCCCAGACACAGUCUUGUGGGCAAGCCUAGACCAACCGCCACACACACUGAGACAAAGGCCCAGAUACAUACAGAGACAAAGACAGGCACAGACACACAGCCGGCAGCACGCACACAAGCACAGGCGUGCACACCCGGACACAGACAAAGACAAAUAAAUGCCCAGAGGUUUUGCUGUGGACAAAAUGUGAGGCGCACACACACAUCUGGGCCUCCUGCUCGACCUCUCUACCUGGGGACGUGGUGAUCUGGCACCCGUGGCCCCAGGGAGAACUCUGAGGAACCUUCUGCUUGGUCAGAGCCCCCCACCCUGGGCCCAGGGCCAGCCCCCACCUCUGGCUCCCGGCCCGUGGCCGAGGCCAUGCAGCCACACCCUCAGCAGCGCCCUGACAUCCUACCUUACCCUCCGCGUCGUGCACACUCACGGUCACACCGUCUCCUGCACGUGCUCACGACACCCUCCACGCCCGCACACUUACGGUUUCUCCCUCACACCCCCCUCAGGUGUCCCCUCCUUGUUGUCUUUCUCAAUCACUGUCCCCACCCCCUCGCCCCGCAGACAUGCACAACCUCCGGCACAGCCUUCGUGGCCCACACCCUCGCCUUCUCACGCAGACCCCCAUGCACAAAUAGAACGCACGGGCUCUCCGCCACAGACCCACAAGCCACGUACACGCGCUCCUUCACAUACUUCCUCAGCACCGCU